rnacentral:rRNA from 1 species
GCGUGGGUGAAGAAGGUCUUCGGAUUGUAAAGCCCUUUCGGCGGGGACGAUGAUGACGGUACCCGCAGAAGAAGCCCCGGCUAACUUCGUGCCAGCAGCCGCGGUAAUACGAAGGGGGCUAGCGUUGCUCGGAAUGACUGGGCGUAAAGGGCGCGUAGGCGGCUAUUAUAGUCAGGCGUGAAAUUCCUGGGCUCAACCUGGGGGCUGCGCUUGAUACGUGAUGGCUUGAGUGGGGAAGAGGGUCGUGGAAUUCCCAGUGUAGAGGUGAAAUUCGU